rnacentral:rRNA from 1 species
GGGGGGGGCAAGCGUUGUUCGGAAUUACUGGGCGUAAAGGGCGCGUAGGCGGCCUACUAAGUCGGACGUGAAAUCCCUCGGCUCAACCGAGGAACUGCGUCCGAUACUGGCGAGGCUUGAAUUCGGGAGAGGGAUGUGGAAUUCCAGGUGUAGCGGUGAAAUGCGUAGAUAUCUGGAGGAACACCGGUGGCGAAGGCGGCAUCCUGGACCGAGAUUGACGCUGAGGCGCGAAAGCUAGGGUAGCAAACGGGAUUAGAUACCCCGGUAGUCCUAGCCCUAAACGAUGAGUGCUUGGUGUGGCGGGUAUCGAUCCCUGCCGUGCCGAAGCUAACGCAUUAAGCACUCCGCCUGGGGAGUACGGUCGCAAGGCUG